UACGAACCGUGCGAACGUUAUUCGGAAUCAUUGGGCUUAAAGCGCGUGUAGGCGGGUUUGUGCGUCUGUCGCUGAAAUCCCCCGGCUCAACCGGGGAAGUGGCGUGGAUACGACGAGUCUGGAGGGGCAUAGGGGGACCUGGAACUUCCGGUGGAGCGGUGAAAUGCGUUGAGAUCGGAAGGAACGCCCGUGGCGAAAGCGAGGUCCUGGAUGCCUACUGACGCUGAGACGCGAAAGCCAGGGGAGCGAACGGG
rnacentral:rRNA from 1 species